rnacentral:rRNA from 1 species
UACAGAGGGUGCGAGCGUUAAUCGGAUUUACUGGGCGUAAAGCGUGCGUAGGCGGCUUUUUAAGUCGGAUGUGAAAUCCCUGAGCUUAACUUAGGAAUUGCAUUCGAUACUGGGAAGCUAGAGUAUGGGAGAGGAUGGUAGAAUUCCAGGUGUAGCGGUGAAAUGCGUAGAGAUCUGGAGGAUACCGAUGGCGAAGGCAGCCAUCUGGCCUAAUACUGACGCUGAGGUACGAAAGCAUGGGGAGCAAACAGGAUUAGAU